rnacentral:piRNA from 1 species
GAAAAGUCUGUAACCAGCAUAGACUGGUGCUU